rnacentral:rRNA from 1 species
GACGAACGCUGGCGGCGUGCUUAACACAUGCAAGUCGAACGGAAAGGCCUUGCUUUUGUGGGGUGCUCGAGUGGCGAACGGGUGAGUAACACGUGAGUAACCUGCCCUUGACUUUGGGAUAACUUCAGGAAACUGGGGCUAAUACCGGAUAGGAGCUCCUGCUGCAUGGUGGGGGUUGGAAAGUUUCGGCGGUUGGGGAUGGACUCGCGGCUUAUCAGCUUGUUGGUGGGGUAGUGGCUUACCAAGGCUUUGACGGGUAGCCGGCCUGAGAGGGUGACCGGCCACAUUGGGACUGAGAUACGGCCCAGCCUCCUACGGGAGGCAGCAGUGGGGAAUAUUGCACAAUGGGCGGAAGCCUGAUGCAGCAACGCCGCGUGCGGGAUGACGGCCUUCGGGUUGUAAACCGCUUUCGCCUGUGACGAAGCGUGAGUGACGGUAAUGGGUAAAGAAGCACCGGCUAACUACGUG